CCUACGGGAGGCAGCAGUGGGGAAUAUUGCGCAAUGGGCGAAAGCCUGACGCAGCGACGCCGCGUGAGGGAUGAAGGUCUUCGGAUCGUAAACCUCUGUCAGCAGGGAAGAACGGUCACUGUGCUAAUCAGCAGUGAAUUGACGGUACCUGCAAAGGAAGCACCGGCUAACUCCGUGCCAGCAGCCGCGGUAAUACGGAGGGUGCGAGCGUUAAUCGGAAUUACUGGGCGUAAAGCGCUCGUAGGCGGUAUGUCAAGUCAAGGGUGAAAUCCCCGCGCUCAACGUGGGAACUGCCUUUGAAACUGGCAAACUGGAGAGUGUGAGAGGAUAGUGGAAUUCCAGGUGUAGGAGUGAAAUGCGUAGAUAUCUGGCGGAACAUCAGUGGCGAAGGCGACUAUCUGGCACAUAACUGACGCUGAGGAGCGAAAGCGUGGGUAGCAAACAGGAUUAGAUACCCUUGUAGUC
rnacentral:rRNA from 1 species